AUUGAACGCUGGCGGCAGGCUUAACACAUGCAAGUCGAGCGGAGUGAUGGUGCUUGCACUAUCACUUAGCGGCGGACGGGUGAGUAAUGCUUAGGAAUCUGCCUAUUAGUGGGGGACAACAUCUCGAAAGGGAUGCUAAUACCGCAUACGUCCUACGGGAGAAAGCAGGGGAUCACUUGUGACCUUGCGCUAAUAGAUGAGCCUAAGUCGGAUUAGCUAGUUGGUGGGGUAAAGGCCUACCAAGGCGACGAUCUAUAGCGGGUCUGAGAGGAUGAUCCGCCACACUGGGACUGAAACACGGCCCAGACUCCUACGGGAGGCAGCAGUGGGGAAUAUUGGACAAUGGGGGGAACCCUGAUCCAGCCAUGCCGCGUGUGUGAAGAAGGCCUUAUGGUUGUAAAGCACUUUAAGCGAGGAGGAGGCUCUUUUGGUUAAUACCCAAGAUGAGUGGACGUUACUCGCAGAAUAAGCACCGGCUAACUCUGUGCCAGCCGCCGCGGUAACAC
rnacentral:rRNA from 1 species